rnacentral:rRNA from 1 species
UACGUAGGGGGCGAGCGUUGUCCGGAAUCAUUGGGCGUAAAGGGCGCGUAGGUGGUUCUGUAUGUCUACCGUGAAAGCGUACGGCUCAACCGUAUUUUGUCGGUGGAAACUGCAGGACUUGAGGCUGGGAGGGGCUGGUGGAAUUCCCUGUGUAGCGGUGAAAUGCGUAGAGAUGGGGGAGAACACUCGUGGCGAAGGCGGCCAGCCAGACCAGUUCUGACACUGAGGCGCGACAGCGUGGGGAGCAAACAGG